rnacentral:lncRNA from 1 species
AACGCCGGAUGUUUCGUAGCCUAUUGGUGAGGGUGGUAGGUGUUUCCCACAAGAAUGUGGGUUCGGCACCCAUGAGUGUCAUUUUUGGGGUUUGUGUGCAUUUUCUUGUUUUUCCUAGUUUGUUUUGUUAUUUCUUUUGACUUUUGUAUAUAUUUUAAAUAAUGAAAAUGGGGGACAUUUGAUUCGCAGGUUCGAUCCUUGUGCAAUUCACUUACUAUCUAUUUUAUUAUUUUUAACCAUCUUUUUAUUUUAUUUAUUUCUAAU